rnacentral:tRNA from 1 species
GGGGCUAUAGCUCAGCUGGAAGAGCGUCUGAAUGGCAUUCAGAAGGUCCGGGGUUCGAAUCCCCGUAGCUCCACCA